CCCUUAGAUGUUCUGGGCUGCACGCGCGCUACACUGACAUACUCAGCAAGUUUCCUUGCCUGAAAGGGUUGGGUAAUCUUGUUAGUGUAUGUCGUGAUGGGGAUAGAAUAUUGUAAUUAUUGCUCUUUAACGAGGAAUUCCUAGUAAGCGCAAGUCAUCAGCUUGCGUUGAUUACGUCCCUGCCCUUUGUACACACCGCCCGUCGCUCCUACCGAUUGGGUGAUCCGGUGAAUGAUUCGGACUCUGGCUAUGCUAGCUACUAGCUACGUCAGGGAAAGUUUUGUGAACCUUAUCACUUGGAGGAAGGAGAAGUCGUAACA
rnacentral:rRNA from 1 species